rnacentral:rRNA from 1 species
AUUGAACGCUGGCGGCAGGCCUAACACAUGCAAGUCGAGCGAGCGGCGGAAGGGUGAGUAAUGUGUGGGAAACUGCAUGAUGGAAGGGGAGAACUACUGGAAACGGUAGCUAAUACCGCAUACCAUCAGAUGUGCCAAGAUGGGAUGAGCUAGUAGGUGGGGUACGGGCUCACCUAGGCGACGAUCCCUAGCUGGACUGGGAGGAUGACCAGCCACACUGGAAGUGAGACACUGUCCAGAAUCCGACGGGAGGCAGCAGUGGGGAAUAUUGCACAAUGGGCGUAAGCCUGAUGCAGCCAUGCCGCGUGUGUGAAGAAGGCCUUCGGGUUGUAAAGCACUUUCAGCGGGGAGGCGUUACCCGCAGAAGAAGCACCGGCUAACUCCGUGCCAGCAGCCGCGGUAAUAC